GCAUUGGUGGUUCAGUGGUAGAAUUCUUGCUUUUCAUGUGAGAGACUUGAGUUUGAUCCCCAGCCAGUGCG
rnacentral:tRNA from 1 species